GAGUUUGGUGAUGGCUCUGAUUGAAUGCUGUCCAAGUGCUUGACACAUGCUAAUCGUACGUUUUAAUCGGUAGCUUGCUACAUAAAUUAAAAAGUGGUGUACAGGUGAGUAUAAUGAUAUUCUUAGCCGACCUUAAAGUGAAGGUAAAUCCUUCAUAAUACAUAAAGGGAUAAAUAAUUCUGCUUUAAGAGGACAAUAAAUAUCUUCGGGAUAGGUAGUAGUUAAGGUGAUGGCUUAACUAGCCUAAAACUCUCGUAGUCGAAUCUGAAAGGUUGAUCGAUCACAUUGGGUCUGAAAAAACCCCAAUGCAAGUUAGUACAGCAGUGAGGAAUCUUGGUCAAUGGCCUAACGGCUGAACUGGCAACUUGGAGAAGUGGCAAGUCUUAUUUUGAUUAUAUUAUUAUAUAUAAUCUAUAAGAUUGUAUUAAAAUUGAAUAAAGCUUUGUUUAUAUAUUGAUAAUGACGGUAUAUAUAUCGUGUCUUGGCUAAUUACGUGCCAGCAGCCGCGGUAAUACGUAAGAGACUAGUGUUAUUCAUCUUAAUUAGGUUUAAAGGGUACUUAGACGGUCAAUAUGGCUUCUAUAAUGUUAGUACUUGACUAGAGUUUGAUAUAAGAGGGCAGUACUUGAGGAGGAGAGAUGAAAUUCUAUUAUACCAAAGGGACUCGGUAAAGGCGAAGGCAGCCCUCUAUGUAAAAACUGACGUUGAAGAACGAAGGCACAGAGCACAAACAGGAUUAGAUACCCAAGUAGUCUUUGCAGUAAAUGAUGAAUGCCAUAGGUUAGAUUAAGCUUUAAUAUAUUAGUUUAUCAGUAGUAAACUAACUAUUCAACAAUAUUUAGUCUAUAAAUGAAAGUGUAAGCAUUCCACC
rnacentral:ncRNA from 1 species